GGAAAGGCGCGCGAUACAGGGUGACAGCCCCGUACACAAAAAUGCACAUGCUGUGAGCUCGAUGAGUAGGGCGGGACACGUGGUAUCCUGUCUGAAUAUGGGGGGACCAUCCUCCAAGGCUAAAUACUCCUGACUGACCGAUAGUGAACCAGUACCGUGAGGGAAAGGCGAAAAGAACCCCGGCGAGGGGAGUGAAAAAGAACCUGAAACCGUGUACGUACAAGCAGUGGGAGCACGCUUAGGCGUGUGACUGCGUACCUUUUGUAUAAUGGGUCAGCGACUUAUAUUCUGUAGCAAGGUUAACCGAAUAGGGGAGCCGAAGGGAAACCGAGUCUUAACUGGGCGUUAAGUUGCAGGGUAUAGACCCGAAACCCGGUGAUCUAGCCAUGGGCAGGUUGAAGGUUGGGUAACACUAACUGGAGGACCGAACCGACUAAUGUUGAAAAAUUAGCGGAUGACUUGUGGCUGGGGGUGAAAGGCCAAUCAAACCGGGAGAUAGCUGGUUCUCCCCGAAAGCUAUUUAGGUAGCGCCUCGUGAAUUCAUCUCCGGGGGUAGAGCACU
rnacentral:rRNA from 1 species